rnacentral:rRNA from 1 species
GGGAACAUACCCUUUUCUACGGAAUAGCUCUGGGAAACUGGAAUUAAUACCGUAUACGCCCUACGGGGGAAAGAUUUAUCGGGGAAGGAUUGGCCCGCGUUGGAUUAGCUAGUUGGUGGGGUAAAGGCCUACCAAGGCGACGAUCCAUAGCUGGUCUGAGAGGAUGAUCAGCCACAUUGGGACUGAGACACGGCCCAAACUCCUACGGGAGGCAGCAGUGGGGAAUAUUGGACAAUGGGCGCAAGCCUGAUCCAGCCAUGCCGCGUGAGUGAUGAAGGCCUUAGGGUUGUAAAGCUCUUUCACCGAUGAAGAUAAUGACGGUAGUCGGAGAAGAAGCCCCGGCUAACUUCGUGCCAGCAGCCGCGGUAAUACGAAGGGGGCUAGCGUUGUUCGGAAUUACCGGGCGUAAAGCGCACGUAGGCGGAUAUUUAAGUCAGGGGUGAAAUCCCAGAGCUCAACUCUGGAACUGCCUUUGAUACUGGGUAUCUUGAGUAUGGAAGAGGUAAGUGGAAUUGCGAGU